UACGGAGGGUGCAAGCGUUAAUCGGAAUUACUGGGCGUAAAGCGCACGCAGACGGUCUGUCAAGUCGGAUGUGAAGUCCCCGGGCUCAACCUGGGAACUGCAUUCGAAACUGGCAGGCUAGAGUCUUGUAGAGGGGGGUAGAAUUCCAGGUGUAGCGGUGAAAUGCGUAGAGAUCUGGAGGAAUACCGGUGGCGAAGGCGGCCCCCUGGACAAAGACUGACGCUCAGGUGCGAAAGCGUGGGGAGCAAACAGG
rnacentral:rRNA from 1 species